GCAGUGGUCCGCCGCCACUGCUCGCCGCCACACGCCGCCUCCGCGUCUCCUGCCGCCCUCACAGGUAGAAAAUCUCCUCCUUGCUCCUACAAUCAGGUAUGUGGGAUUUGAAGACGAAGAGAAUACUGAAGCUGACGACAGCUGUGGGUGGCGUGUUCGUAAGAGAGCCAACAGAAUGACAAUAGCAUCAGUAUCACAGUGACAACAUCCAUCAUGAACAACAGAGUUGCUCUUGCUGGUGAAGAUACUAACACCGCGGGUGAUGCUUUAUUCCUGUUGAUACCAGUUAGUUAACAGCUGCGGAUGCUGGAUCAAAGAAUAACAGUGGAGAAUUUACAGAAGAUGGAGUCAUACACAAUACGAUGAAUUUUGGUCGUGUCACCACCUGCAUUUUGUAAGCCUACGUCAGGAUUACAGUCGCUGUGUUUAAGACUAUCAAGACUAAACAGGUCUCACUGACGUUGCUGCCCUAUAGCUGUCGCUGUGUAAAUGAAACGGAGAAUGUUCUCUGAAAUGCCAUCAGCAAAACAUUCUUUUGUAUUAACUCCCCCUUAAUCCGAAGACUUCGAAGGACAGGAACAUCCUAAGAAAUCAGUUCGUCGGCCUUUACACAUAUUAAAGAUAGUAAAAUACAUGAUACUUCACACUAAUAAAGAAUCUGAAAGGGUCUGCUGGUGCACGUGGACUAACCCAACAUCCCAAACACAAAAAUGAUUCUGCAGAUCCAAAAGAGUAACAAGCUCGGUCCAGAGAUACGGUUUAAGUGUAAGGGGCAAUCAAAUGGAUACGAGACAGAUGGAAAAGUAAGUAAAUUCACUAUCGUUUCGAAAGUAAUCACCAUAACUGUUAAUACAUUUAACACAUGUGAGACAAUGCCUUCAUGGAAAAAUGCUUUCUCUCGCCUACGGAAUCAUGGUUGCACCCAAGCGUGCACAUCUUCGUCAGAAGCAAAUGGACAACUACGAAUUUCUUUAUUCACGGCUCCAAAAAAUAUGGGAAAUCCCAUGGGGAGAAAUCGAGACUGUAUGGACGAUGUGCAAGUGCUUCCCAGUGAAAUGCCUGGAGUGUAUUCGAAACAACCGUGGCAACAUGCGGGCACAUGAUGGCGGACAUUAUCCUGUAACACAAUGGCGCCGACCGUCAACCCCCUGCUCACUGACUUUUUUGGAACAAGGUGCCACAGUUGGUGCACAACGGUGCUUGGGUACUUUGCAAAAUUGAAACGAGCUAUCAAGUCCAAACGCCCAGGAAUGCUGACCGACAGAAAUAUUGUGUUGCAAUGUAAAGCCCGUCUACAUGAUUCCAUGGUUGUUUCGACUAGGCUGCAGAAUUUCGGCUAGGAAGACCUUAUACAUCCUCCAAAUGAUCUCGAUUUCUCCACAUGUGAUUUCCAUGUUUCUGGAGCCCAGGAAAAAGACAUUCGUGGCAGUCGAUUGGCUUCGGACGAAGAGGUGCCCGCAAUAGUGGUUCCGUAGGCAAACCCAAACAUUUUUCCAUGAAAGCAUUGACAUUCUUCUCAGAGUGGGGUAAUUGUAUUAUCAAAUACGAUGUUUACUUUUGAAAAAAUAAACAGUUUAUUUACUUUUUUCAUCUGUUUUGCUUUCGUUUGUCUGCCCCUUCCAUACGUAGGAAGAAAAAGGUAUAGCAAGAUACUCUCCUGGAUCAGUAAUUGAUGUCUGAAGAAGAACUUCGAUUGCUUGUUAGUUGACGGGAGAAAUAUGAUGCGCCCGACCAUCCAGAUUUAGGUUUUCCGUAGUGCCCUUUACUUAAUCUAAUUAUCAGGUCGAUUCUGGAUUUGAUGUCUUUCUUUUUUAUCAUACUGUCUUAUUUGCGCCUCUGCAUUCUGUUGCUUUUUCCUUUAUAAUACAAACACACAUGGUGGUACAUAUGAAAUGCGGGUGGUUUGGAUUUUUUCUGCUGCUCCACACUUCUUAUGCUAUGACAGCAGCAUUAACAACUGUCAGCUGCGCCUUAUACUUCGUUUCGAUAGACUGUUGCUGUCAACAUAUCAUUAUCACAUGAAACUUUUGUACAUUUUUUAAGCUCGCACAGUCAUUCAUUGCAAUAUUUUCACUACUGGUAAGUUAUAAUACUUAGUUGGUUGCGUGUUCCAUUGAUACAUAUGAAAUGCGGGUGGUUUGAAUUUUUUCUGCUACUACACACUUCUUAUGCUAUGACAGCAGCAUUAAUAACUGUCAGCUGCUCCUUAUACUUCGUUUCGAUAGACUGUUGCUGUCAACAUAUCAUUAUCACAUGAAACUUUUGUACAUUUUUUAAGCUCGCACAGUCAUUCAUUGCAAUAUUUUCACUACUGGUAAGUUAUAAUACUUAGUUGGUUGCGUGUUCCAUUGAUCAAUCGCACGGUACGGUAACCGUUAUGAUGUGGAACGUGUCAAGUGCACAAGAAAUGUACAUAUGGAACAAGAUUUUUUUAUAUAUAUUACAAUACAGAGUUAAAGAUUAA